rnacentral:tRNA from 1 species
GCCGAUGUGGCGGAAUUGGCAGACGCGCACGACUCAAAAUCGUGUGGGCUUUGCCCGUGUGGGUUCGACUCCCACCAUCGGCAUCA